UAUAGUAACAUGCUCUUGAUCCCAUGCAAGAUCAAAAUAGUAUAGUUUUCAUAUAUAAUAUAUGCACAUGAAACACAAAGCACCCCUUUAUAUUAUUGUUACAGACACAUCCUCUUUAUAGAUCUCUAGCCUCCCCCGUUGUCAAAGUAGAAGAAGAAAAAGAAAGAACCAUAUCUACAGAGAAAAUUCCCGACGGACGGUGCCAGUUUGAUGGAA
rnacentral:lncRNA from 1 species